UACGAAGGGGGCUAGCGUUGCUCGGAAUUACUGGGCGUAAAGGGCGCGUAGGCGGACAGUUUAGUCAGAGGUGAAAGCCCAGGGCUCAACCUUGGAAUUGCCUUUGAUACUGGCUGUCUUGAGUACGGGAGAGGUGAGUGGAACUCCGAGUGUAGAGGUGAAAUUCGUAGAUAUUCGGAAGAACACCAGUGCGAAGGCGACUCACUGGCCCGUUACUGACGCUGAGGCGCGAAAGCGUGGGGAGCAAACAGG
rnacentral:rRNA from 1 species